CCCUUAGAUGUUCUGGGCCGCACGCGCGCUACACUGAUGCAUUCAACGAGUCUAAAACCUGGUCUGAUAGGGCUGGGUAAUCUUUUGAAAGUGCAUCGUGAUUGGGAUAGAUGAUUGCAAUUCUUCAUCUUCAACGAGGAAUGCCUAGUAGGCGCAAGUCAUCAGCUUGCGUCGAUUACGUCCCUGCCCUUUGUACACACCGCCCGUCGCUCCUACCGAUUGGGUGUGCUGGUGAAAUGUUCGGAUCGGCCGUUUGUCGCGGUUUCCGCGUCAUGUGGCUGAGAAGUUCAUUAAACCCUCCCACCUAGAGGAAGGAGAAGUCGUAACA
rnacentral:rRNA from 1 species